rnacentral:rRNA from 1 species
AUUGAACGCUGGCGGCAGGCCUAACACAUGCAAGUCGAACGAGUGGCGGACGGGUGAGUAAUGUCUGGGAAUCUGCCUGAUGGAGGGGGAUAACUACGGGAAACUGUAGCUAAUACCGCGUACCAUAAGAUGAGCCCAAAUGGGAUUAGCUAGUUGGUGGGGUAAAGGCUCACCAAGGCGACGAGCCCUAGCUGGUCUGAGAGGAUGACCAGCCACACUGGAACGGAUACACGGUCCAGACUCCUACGGGAGGAAGCAGUGGGGAAGAUUGCACAAGGGGCGCAAGCCUGAUGCAGCCAUGCCGCGUGGAUGAAGAAGGCCGUCGGGUUGUAAAGUACUUUCAGCGGGGAGGCGUUACCCGCAGAAGAAGCACCGGCUAACGCCGUGCCAGCAGCCGCGGUAAUUC